rnacentral:rRNA from 1 species
UAGGGAAUCUUCGGCAAUGGACGAAAGUCUGACCGAGCAACGCCGCGUGAGUGAAGAAGGCCUUCGGAUCGUAAAACUCUGUUGUUAGAGAAGAACAAGGACGUUAGUAACUGAACGUCCCCUGACGGUAUCUAACCAGAAAGCCACGGCUAACUAAGUGCCAGCAGCCGCGGUAAUACGUAGGUGGCAAGCGUUGUCCGGACUUAUUGGGCGUAAAGCGAGCGCAGGCGGUUUCUUAAGUCUGAUGUGAAAGCCCCCGGCUCAACCGGGGAGGGGCAUUGGAAACUGGGAGACUUGAGGGCAGAAGAGGAGAGUGGAAUUCCAGGUGUAGCGGUGAAAUGCGUAGAGAUAUGGAGGAACACCAGUGGCGAAGGCGGCUCACUGGUCUGUAACUGACGCUGAGGUUCGAAAGCGUGGGGAGCAAACAGG